AUUGAACGCUGGCGGCAGGCCUAACACAUGCAAGUCGAACGGUAACAGGAAGAAGCUUGCUUCUUUGCUGACGAGUGGCGGACGGGUGAGUAAUGUCUGGGAAACUGCCUGAUGGAGGGGGAUAACUACUGGAAACGGUAGCUAAUACCGCAUAACGUCGCAAGACCAAAGAGGGGGACCUUCGGGCCUCUUGCCAUCGGAUGUGCCCAGAUGGGAUUAGCUAGUAGGUGGGGUAACGGCUCACCUAGGCGACGAACCCUAGCUGGUCUGAGAGGAUGACCAGCCACACUGGAACUGAGACACGGUCCAGACUCCUACGGGAGGCAGCAGUGGGGAAUAUUGCACAAUGGGCGCAAGCCUGAUGCAGCCAUGCCGCGUGUAUGAAGAAGGCCUUCGGGUUGUAAAGUACUUUCAGCGGGGAGGAAGGGAGUAAAGUUAAUACCUUUGCUCAUUGACGUUACCCGCAGAAGAAGCACCGGCUAACUCCGUG
rnacentral:rRNA from 1 species